AAAUAGACUUUGCAGAGAGAGUUAACAGGGCGUGAAACCGUCAAUUGGCAAACGAAUCGGAGCCACGAAGUCGUUUCGUUGAUUAUUUGAGCCGAGUUCAGUUUGAGAGUAACAACUCUUGGGCGUAUUCUCGUUAGUUCAAACAGUCUUUGUAAGCGUACACUGCAACCAGUUAGACGAUUGAUUAUGGGCCCAGUUGGCUUGUUAUAAGGCGCAAGUUUUGUACAAGUUAGCGAAGCAUUUGUUUGGUUGAAUUAGUAGUAGCGCGGUUUAGUUUCGGCUUUAUUCGUGUUGCUGGAUUUAAUCAAGUGAACUAUGAUCAAAUACUGACUGGCAAAAUGAAAAUCGCUACGUCUAGUAGCGUUUUAUAAAAGGCAUUAAUUUAUACAUGAUGCUUACACACUUGACCAUUAGGUUUAAGCUCGGCAUUUUUGAAUUUAGACUUGCUAGAUACCAGUGGGGCAACUCCUGGUUCUAGUAUAGCUUCUAUCUAAUCGGGUGUCGACUUGAUUUGGUGUUGUUUGAGUGUGCUACGAUAGAGUAUUUGUAUAAUAUUGUUUGCCAUCUUGAAUUGGCAGUGAGUAGGUCGGCUUUCCGAACGACCCGUCUUGAAACACGGACCAAGGAGUCUAAUUAGGCAUCAAGUCGAUCGGUCUUGAAUAGGCCAGACUAGAUAGUUUCGACUAUCUGAUUGAAGGCGUAGAGAAAUCAAAUCAUGUGAUCAUGCGAACAAUUCCAGUUUACAUGCGCAACAUGUGCCUGCUCGUAUAGCAAUGUUAGCAAUAACUUGCUGGGCGGAGCAAAGAGAUGCUUGAUUGGUACC
rnacentral:rRNA from 1 species